rnacentral:misc_RNA from 1 species
GAAUUGCGAUAAGUAAUGUGAAUUGCAGAAUUCAGUGAAUCAUCAAAUCUUUGAACGCACAUUGCGCUCCUUGGUAUUCCGGGGAGCAUGCCUGUUUGAGAAUCAAUAAAUCUCUCACCAUCUGGUCUGCUUGAUUAAUUUCUCGCAGGUCAGGAGGUGGAUUUGAGUCCUUUGCGUUCCCUCGGGAAUACAAUGACUUUAAAUUCAAUGUCUGCAGCUUUCUUCUGACGGGGAAUGGCUUUGAGUGCAUGAACUGUUUUUAUUAACUUAGAUUUCACUCUCGUAAGCUUUUAUUCCUAAUGUCUGGAAGAUGUGCUGUUGGAUCCAACCAUUACAUCUUUGUAAGGUCGAUGUGAGUCGACACUGCAUUGAAUACUUGGUCUCAAAUCAGGUAGGAAAA